CGUAGCUCUCUCCUCUCCCUCUCAUUUCCAUGAAAAGCCACCAUUAAAGCUUGCAUACAAGCUUUAAUUCUUCCACUCAAUUCUCAUAACUCCCCUAAAAUACCCUACUAAAGCUUGUUAUUACUACUAAGAAGGAGAUUACAAGGAAAAAGAAGAGCAAAAGUUAGGGUUUUGAAGAUUUAAGAAAGUUGAAAAGAAUAUCGGGAAGGAACCCGAGGAACCGAGUCGAGGCUAAAGGACGACUCGUUUGAGAUAUAGAGAUUAGAGGAGCAGCAGACUGAGCUGCUGAGGUGUGUGAAGUCAUCAGCUUGAAGUCUUCGGGUAUAAUUUAUACCCUAACUGUAAAUAUUUCUUUUGAUGUAUAUAUUGCACAUAAAUGUAUGGACAUGUACAUGGGUCUUGAGCAGCUUGUACAAAGUUUGUAUAAAAGUUGUAAUAAAUUUUAGUUUGGACUUCCUGAAUGUAAAUUUUAGUAUGAUGAAUAUAUAAAUUGUUUAUCUUGAA